rnacentral:rRNA from 1 species
UGGGGAAUAUUGCACAAUGGGCGGAAGCCUGAUGCAGCAACGCCGCGUGCGGGAUGACGGCCUUCGGGUUGUAAACCGCUUUCGCCUGUGACGAAGCGUGAGUGACGGUAAUGGGUAAAGAAGCACCGGCUAACUACGUGCCAGCAGCCGCGGUGAUACGUAGGGUGCGAGCGUUGUCCGGAUUUAUUGGGCGUAAAGGGCUCGUAGGUGGUUGAUCGCGUCGGAAGUGUAAUCUUGGGGCUUAACCCUGAGCGUGCUUUCGAUACGGGUUGACUUGAGGAAGGUAGGGGAGAAUGGAAUUCCUGGUGGAGCGGUGGAAUGCGCAGAUAUCAGGAGGAACACCAGUGGCGAAGGCGGUUCUCUGGGCCUUUCCUGACGCUGAGGAGUGAAAGCGUGGGGAGCGAACAGGCUUAGAUACCCUGGUAGUCCACGCUGUAAACGGUGGGUACUAGGUGUGGGGUCCAUUCCACGGGUUCCGUGCCGUAGCUAACGCUUUAAGUACCCCGCCUGGGGAGUACGGCCGCAAGGCUAAAACUUAAAUGAAUUGACGGGGUCAUAGCUGUUUCCU